rnacentral:rRNA from 1 species
GACAGAGGUCCCGAGCGUUAGGCGGAAUCACUGGGCUUAAAGCGUGUGUAGGCGGCGGCCUAAGUACCUUGUGAAAUCCCACGGCUCACCCGUGGAACUGCUCGGUAUACUGGGUCGCUUGAGCCACUUAGGGGCUACCGGAACAAAUGGUGGAGCGGUGAAAUGCGUAGAUAUCGGGAGGAACACCAGUGGCGAAGGCGAUCAUCUGGGGUUGUUCUGACACUGAGGAGCGAAAGCUAGGGGAGCAAACGGG